rnacentral:lncRNA from 1 species
UGCAAGAUUCAAAGAGAGGACGUACGAAAAUGGAGCGUUGGGCAAGCCACAAAGAGAGAGAUGAUGUUGUCACUGUCACGGCAUCGUCCACUUCUUCAAAACUUCAAGAGAAGGAAAAAGGCACUAACGGCCGAGUUCUCGAACCUGUCCAUGACAAGAAUCGGGAUUUAACUGAAGAGAAAAGUAGCCAUGACCUUGCAGAGACCAAAGAUAGAAGCGAGAAGGGACCUCCAGGAGAUCGGCACUUGGACACGGUUGAGAAACUCAAGAAACGUAGUGAACGGUUCAAACUUCCAAUGCCCACGGAGAAAGAUACCACAGUCGUAAAGAAAAUGGAGUCUGAGACGCUGCCCUCUGCAAAAAUUGAAGGCCCUGUGGAUUCAGAGGUGAAAGCAGAGCGGCCAGCAAGGAAAAGACGGUGGACAAGUAGCUGAGAGCCUGGCUCUCUUUGGCUGGAUCGAGGGGUAGCUUCUUAUACUUAAACGGAUGGCAUGAGAUUCUCGCAUCCCACGGAGCAGUUGUUGCCGUGGAGGAUCAAGUUCCAUGAAGAUUAAUUAGAAGAGCUUAGGAAGAGUGUGUGGGAGUGAGCUAUGUUGUGUAAGAAUAAUACGCAUAAGGAUUUUACUUUGAGAGAAUACUCUUUUGUAGUAGUUGAUGUAAACUUUUGUCAAAGAUUAUUUGGUCUUUUAGUUUUGUUCACAUACUAAGCGCCUCAAGAGAGAGCGAGGAUAUUUAUAAAGUACUCGAGGCAUUGUAUUUUACUGUAGUAAUUUUGUUACUGUUUUUUGUAAACAACCUUUUGAACACUUGACAUUUGUAUUUUCCUUUUUCCAGGUUUAUUAUGAGGAGACAGCAACAACUAUGAAAGUAGAGACUGCUUGAUGGAGAAAGGCUCGUAAAUAGAAUACGAGCUUAUUAUCACGUUUCAAAAUCUCUUACGAAAUCAAAACUUUCCUAUUACAAACAAACAAAGUUUCUUUAGAGCUUUGAUCUAUAGUAAUAAAUCACUGUUUUGCGGCAUAUAUUGUUUAAAAUGAAUAAAACGUAAAUAGCUCAAGUUUCGAAAAUGCUGAGGGCGGGCAUGUUACAACGUAUGAAGUUAUAUGGUGUGAUUAAAUUUUUAUUCAGUGGCAAAGAGGAAUCCCAUAGCCAGUAUUGCCAGCAAGGAAAGGCACAGAUUAGCAGUGGUGGCAAUAGAGCCAGAAUGACCAGGGGCAUUUGGCGUAGCUCCAGUUGCAUUGUUGGCGGCCAUGUUUGCAACAGGAGGCAGAGGAGGAUCAAUCACGUCUUUGGCGUCAAGAGGUGGGCUUGGGGCACUAGCUGGUGGCUGUGCUUCCUUGUUUGCCACGGAGAUUAGAGAGCCAGCCUCUGCAGGUAAGAUGGCAUAGGGCUGCUCUUUGUCUAAAUCUGAGCAUGGACUCCCUGCAUUUGCAUCAAAUGUUAAGCAUCAGCUUUUGUGUUGUUAAAUGAUCAACAUUAUCUUUGUUAUGUGUAUAUAUUGGUUCUUUCAUGAAUCUUGUAGAGGUUUAGAAUUUACUUAAGUAUCUGGUGGCGGUGGCAGGGAACUCCGUGAUGACUCCAUCAACACCAUUCCCUGCAAUGAAUGUGGCAAACUCUACAGUAGGAUCAGAGAAGUAGUCGAACGCUAUGGAGAUAUACUCGUUCCUUAGCACCGAGACAUAAACAGAGAUAUUCCCCUUGUGCAUUUCCUCCACUACGUUGGUCUUCCCUGCGGCAAAGCUUCCGGAGAUGGUGACGAGAGAACUUCUCAAGAUAUUGACAGCAUCUGCAUGCUUCUUGAUUUCGUCAACGGAUGCCUUGGGAGCAUCUCCUAUUUCCUUGUCGAUGCUCAAGACUCUAGUGUAGGGAGGGACAGCCUCAAAACCGGCCAGAACUGAACUGUCAUCUGACUGAAUCAAUACCCUUUGGGUUGUUUGCUUGUCGAGUGUGGAUUUGGUCAGAGCGGACUUGACUGCGUCUACGAUUCCUAAGCCUUUCUUUGAGGCUAAAUAAGCAGCAUUCUGUCAAAACAAAAAAAACAAGGCGUUAGUGGUGAUGCUUUGAGUAAGUUAAAGGAGCAUUAAUGAAAAAAGGGGCAUAUGCCUGGAUGUUGACAAGAACUCCAGUGACUGCCUUUUCUUUGCUGAACUUAAGGAAGUCAUCAAGAGUUACGAACUUCCCGGCAUUCUUGUUUGCUGGGUUUCUCGAGAUUCCCACCUUAGCUAUGAAAGGGCUCUGGAUUUGAGCUGUAGGCAGAGACAUCCCACUGUCAUGAUCCAGAUCUUCCCCCAGAGCUAGCUGCAGCAACAGGGGCGCAGGGUGUUCCUGUUGAUUCUUCAAAUUUAGUGAAGGUAGAAACUGCUCAAGUUGAUUCAGCUAAAGUACCAGCUCAUGUUCGACCUGCACUGGUAUGUUUCCUACCGCCUUUGUUCUCAUUUAAAGUAGCAUCGUCUAUAUGUGGUUUUCUAUAUUGUAUAUCAAAGCUGGAACGUCGUGGCUAUACAUUUUUCUUGUUACUAUCUAAAGCUUGAGAGUAUUGGAUGAUUUUUUUACUUUUGGUUAUUUCAGCCCCCUGGAAGACCGAUACCUGUGGAGACUGGUUCUGGUGAGCGUCAGCCAUCCGUUGAUACACGUGCUCCUCGAAUGCGUGAUCUAGAUGCUAUCAUUGAGGUUGAACAUGUCUCAAAUCUCUCUUUAUUUUGGUUUUUACUGGUGAGGCAUAGUUGCAUGCUAUAAUGUCUGCUACUAAUUGAAAUCGAUUUUGUUGCCAGAUUGUAUGUCAGGAUUCACACGAGGAUGCGCCUUCGGGUGAAAAUGACACAGAACCAGCUGUUAGUAGCCUUCCUAUAGAAAAUGUUCCAGUUGAGACUGGGUACGUUAACAGCAGAAGACCAGACGGGGAAUCUGCUGAACGAAGUCCUACCCAGGAUGAACCACGUAAAAGGCUUCUCAGAAAGCAAGACGAUGAGAUCUCUAGAAGCACUGGUAGUGGCCAGAGUUUUCGUUCGUCGUCUCCUGUUGGGGACAGAGGCACAAUGUCAUCAAGUGUUGAUCGUGAAGAUAUGGGAGGCGUAGCCGGCAAAGAUGCUGAGAUGGAAGAGGAGCGUAAAACGAGUUCUGCAGUUCAAGAAGAUGAUGGAGGGGAAUCAAAGACGGAGAGAAGUAGUGGAAACAGCAAAGCAAGAUCUGAAAGUCACAGAGAUCAUCAGCAAUUGAAGGAUAGUGCAGAACAGGAAGUUAUUCAAAAUAAGCAUUCUACUCGACCAGCUAGCAGUAAGAAACAUCACGAUAACAGUGCACCGUAUCAGAGCAGAAAGAAUCAAGACAGAGGGAAAGAAAUGGAAAGAACUCGAGCGGCGAGCAAAGGUGGUAGGGAGUACUCAAAUCCUCAUACGGACGUUGAUUACUCAAUUGCAAGGGGCGACGAUUAUGAUAGAAGGAAAGAGCGAGAUGUUGAUGGGGGGUUCUGGCGCAGGAAAGAGGAUGACCCAUUCAGUAGAAGAGGUGGGGAUGAAGGGUUUAGAAAAAGGGAUCGUGAAGAGGAUCUGGGCUCUAAGCAGAGGGGUAAAAUGAGAGAGAGUGACAUACGCAACAAAGAUGAUCAUCAUGUUCCAUCGAGAAAGCAUUUGGACGAUGGUGGUUUAAGAAAUAGUUAUGAACUGGAUGAUCACAUCGGGAAGAGGAGGAAGGAUGAAGAAUACUUAAGAAGAAACCGCUCUGAAAAGAACGAAAUCUCAUAUGGUCAAAGAGAAUCAUCAACCAGCCGCCUGAAACGAGAACGGGGUGAUAGGUUGGACCAUCAAAAGAGAGAUGUCCAACAUAAAAGCAGAGAUGAUUUUGAUGACCACAGUUCUCUCAGGCACAGAGACGAUUUCUAUAUGCAGAGAGAUGGAAAUGACAGGUUGAGAGAGCGCGAGGGUAUGGAUAAAUUGAAAUUAACUCAGGAGGAUGGCUUAUCAGCACGAGGAAGAGAGAGGCAGGUACCUACUACAAGGGGUCAUAGAGGCUCAGAAGACCGAUCAUCAUCGAUGAUGAAGGAUGAUUAUAAAACUUCUGAGAAAGAGCAUCUCACAAAAGAUUCAACAAGGCAUAGUAAACAGACGAAGAGAAGGGAAUAUCAUGGUGAAGAAAGUUCUCAUCAUAGAGGACACAGAGACUUCUCUGCACGCACAGAUGAGACUGCUAACAAUGAGAAAAUGCCAAGGCAGGAGAGAACAAGUGCUAAAAGUGACAAUGUUAUUAAUUCUUUGGACGGCCAGCAGUUGCAAGACAGAAAACAUAAAGAUUCCAGACGAAAGAUUAAAGAACAACGAGAGGGUGCCGAUUCAGUGAGGAGCAAGCAAGGAGAAGAAAAUGGCAGUUCAGAAGUAACGGUAUGCUCUAUCAGCCUAUCAACUUAUUACUCUCAUCCAAGUUUUGUAAACUUAACGUAACAUGGUUAUCGUGAAUGCAUUAGACUUUACAAAGUAUUUUGUUCCUGUGAUUAACCUCACCUAAUAAUAUAUCUCAUGGGUUUGGUCACUUUUAAUAUGCCUCAACGGGUCAGUAUUGAUGCUUCUUUCAUGCCUUCCAGGGCUCAAAAGGUAAAAACGAAGCAAGAAAUCACAGGAGUGAGAUCCCACAGCAGACUAACGCCACCAAAAGACACAAGGAGGAUGCUUCAUCUGGUGAUGAGCUGCAAGAUUCAAAGAGAGGACGUACGAAAAUGGAGCGUUGGGCAAGCCACAAAGAGAGAGAUGAUGUUGUCACUGUCACGGCAUCGUCCACUUCUUCAAAACUUCAAGAGAAGGAAAAAGGCACUAACGGCCGAGUUCUCGAACCUGUCCAUGACAAGAAUCGGGAUUUAACUGAAGAGAAAAGUAGCCAUGACCUUGCAGAGACCAAAGAUAGAAGCGAGAAGGGACCUCCAGGAGAUCGGCACUUGGACACGGUUGAGAAACUCAAGAAACGUAGUGAACGGUUCAAACUUCCAAUGCCCACGGAGAAAGAUACCACAGUCGUAAAGAAAAUGGAGUCUGAGACGCUGCCCUCUGCAAAAAUUGAAGGCCC